AUUGAACGCUGGCGGCAGGCUUAACACAUGCAAGUCGAGCGGAGAUGAGGUGCUUGCACCUUAUCUUAGCGGCGGACGGGUGAGUAAUGCUUAGGAAUCUGCUUAUCAGUGGGGGACAACAUUCCGAAAGGAAUGCUAAUACCGCAUACGUACUACGGGAGAAAGCAGGGGAACUUCGGAACAUGCGCUAACAGAUGCGACUAAGUCGGAUUAGCUAGUUGGUGGGGUAAGGGCCUACCAAGGCGACGAUCUGUAGCGGGUCUGAGAGGAUGAUCCGCCACACUGGGACUGAGACACGGCCCAGACUCCUACGGGAGGCAGCAGUGGGGAAUAUUGGACAAUGGGGGGGACCCUGAUCCAGCCAUGCCGCGUGUGUGAAGAAGGCCUUAUGGUUGUAAAGCACUUUAAGCGAGGAGGAGGCUACUGAGACUAAUACUCUUGGAUAGUGGACGUUACUCGCAGAAUAAGCACCGGCUAACUCUGUGCCAGCAGCCGCGGUAAAAC
rnacentral:rRNA from 1 species